UGGCCCAUAGUAAGCAUAUAAUACAUGUUAUUAGUGUGAUUUCAGGGUGGACCUAUUUAGAGAACAUGUCAGAGGAAAAUACUUCAAGGCUGCUGGAACAUUGAGGUUGCUUCAACACCAUGUCAUGGAAGAGGCUGGCCACUUCAGCCAUACAAGGGCCAACCCUGACGCUAGAAAUGUUCAACUGUAAAUGACCUGAUUUGAUGAUGAAACCUACUUAAAUGCAAAACAAGAUUCUACUUAGAAGCCAAGGUCAGAUGUUAUGUAUUGGGAAACAGAAGCAAGAGUUUGAAGAAAACCCUUAAGCCACAGCCAGCAUCACCCCUGACUGCAAGGUCUGCCUGGACAAUCAAGUCAAGAUCCUUGACUUAAUCACAUCUGCAAACACCCU